UACGAGAGGGGGAAAGAAAAUGCGUCGUUCCACGGGUGGGGACAAAAGAGAGAGCAGUUCUUUUUUCCCAACGCAACCUCCUCUCCUUCUUUCCCAUCCCGACCGGCGGCUAGGGUUCCCCGGCGCCGCCACAGCUACAGCCACCGGCGCCAUCCCUGCUCGUCCAGCGCUGGCCACUGGAGAAGGUGGACGCCGUCUCCGUCUCCGUCGCCGUCUCCGUCGCCGCCUCCGACAUCGACCUCAACCUCGACCGUGUCUGCGGCAGCGGCAAGGACCUCCGCCCGUAGGUCUCCUUCUCGUCAAGCGAGCGCUCGGGACGAGCAGGAUCUCAAUCUCGAGUGGGGGACAGACGCGGCCACGGGCAGCCGCCGGGGACGCCUCUGCAUCGUCGGAGGCGGAAUUAGGGGAGCAGCAGGCGGCGAUUCUGGUGGUGGAAACAUUGGGUGUCCUCGGCCAGUGCUGGUUGUCCUCGCUGGCAACCUCGCCGGCUCCAACCCGUCCGUAGACACUAAAAGGGUGCAGGUCGAGAUGAUGGUGCUGAGCACGGAUGGGAAUGGCGAGAUGCGGAUGUGCGUGCUGCAGCCCAGCAAUUUUUCAGGCCAGGCAAUUCAAGCUUGGUGAGGUUCGUUGCUGGAUACGCAAUGUCUCAAUUGGGCAAGGAUUUGGCAAUGAAAUCUGAUGAUAGUGUUGUAUCUCAUGCUGCACAUUUGAUGGUUGGCAUGCUAACUGGGAGUCUAGCUCACGUAACAUCCAAUGAGCGAUCAGAAUGAAGGUGAGGGGGUUGCAGAGGAGGAAAUAAGAGGAGUAGAAAAUUAAGGAGACGAAUCCAAGGAUCUGUACCGGAGGGGAGGACAUGAGGCCCAUAUAUGAUGGCUCGUACUGGUAAAGCAAGUUGACAGGCAGCAACAUGAGCACCAAAGGACAUCAUCACCAUCCGAGUGCCCUAGCUGCUAUCGCUUGCUGUGAGUAUUUUUGCCCCAAGUGAGAUUACGAUAUCAUGCAUCCUCUUUCCUAUUUAUUGCUAAUAUCAGCACAAUGCUUUGGUCCUCUUCACGUUUUAUUUGUUCUGCUUAUAUACCUUGCAAUCAUUAUGAUGGUAAGUAGCCAAUGGUAUAAUGUUGCUUCUCUUACUAUGCCAUCAGCCAGUUUUGGACUUCUUAACUUUGUUGCCAAAGGUAUAUGUAGGCCUUAAAUAUACACAUCAUAGCAGAAGUAUGGGAUGUUCUGUUAGUUAUUUGGUUUAUGUCAAGCUAUGUGUCGGCCUUCUCCUUCUGCUUCUUCCACAAGCAUAAAUUUUGCUUGCACAUUAUAAUUACCAAAUGCAUAAUUUUUCCUUGUAGGCUAAAUUCUGUCAGGUUACUUAGAUCUAUUUGAAGUUACAUUUCCAUUAUUUUUCCUGUUCCCACUAAAGCGGUUUCAAAGGAAAUAGAGCGAAUUGACCAACUUUUCUAUACAUAUGCUGAUAGCUCAUCCAGCAUGAAGUUACACUUGUCUGCGAUUAUUUUUUAUGUAUACUCAAGGUAGCCAUCCUUCCAUUUAGAUAUUCUACAUAUACUCUCCAAUUAGGGAUAUCAUGCUUGGUAAAAAUAAGAGUUGUUUUAUACGAAUCAUUGUAAAUAGUAAUUUAACAGUUUUCAAUGCUUAUGUAAUCCCAUUCAUGAAAAUGUAUACUGUAGUUGAUACAUAUAAUUUCGAUGCAGCUAAAUGUUAGCUUCAAACAACUCCCAUCAUGCGAGCAGGUGUAAGAGACUUCUUGAUUGGGUAGUUUAGGUUGAACUUUGGUGCAGAAGUAAGAAUGUUAAUUAUGUUACCUCCUGUUCUUAUGAGAAAAUAGUUUUCGUGAGAAUUAUCCCUGUUAUAAAUACAUCAUUUCGUUUACUGAUUUUAGGUCUGUUGUGGGUGUUAGAGGAGAUAGAUCGGGCAGAACUACAACCUGAGGUUGUGUAGGUUUAGGGAUACCUCUUGCCAAGGUUACAUUUUAGGUUUUGACGAAACACAAAAAUAUAUACUCCCUCCGUCCCAUAAUAUAAGAUUUUUAGCACUACACUAGUGUCAAAAAUGUUCUUAUAUUAUGGGACAGAGGGAGUAAUAUUUAAAUAAAGCCCAGUUCAUCUGUGAAAUAAUUAUGAAUAUCAAUCCAAUAAAGGUAUGAUGUACAGUGGCAAUAACAUUUUAUAAUUCUUUGGUAAGAUCACUGAAAACUAUUAAAUUAUGUUCUCUAAUUUAUUAUAGUUAGCUUUGUUUCAGAUUGGGUGUUAAUAGAAACCAUAUCCAUGUAUUGAUGGAUUCACAUUUCAAGGGAAACUACUGAAAACGAAAGGCGACAUCUUUGAUAUUUUUUUUACUCAUUAUUCACAAUGUGAACUUUGGGACUGUCUAAACGAAACUAUGACAUGAUAUGUUUCCUUUAUUCUUGAUUUGUUCAAUUUCAUACACCUGCUCUGCCCUAGGUUCAAACGACAAAAUCUAUAGCCUCACUCUGAAGGUCCAAGGAGGUGGAAGCACCAACCAUGCCCUCAACAGAGCUGCUCCAUUGGAUUUCAAUCCAAGGAUGACAUCCAAGAAAAGAAAGAUACAAUGGUUACUUGCGGCGACAACGACGGCGAAGACUGGACCGGGAUCUGGGACGGUGGAUGUAUUGAGCUCGAGCUGAAGAUCAGCCACUCCAUCCACGACCAAUGCUUCUUUUCCUUAUUUUCAUGGAGAUGAUUUCAGUACUCUUUAUCCGUGUCAUGUUAGAGCCAAGAUGCAUGUGCCACUCGUUCCAUCAAGUGUCUAAUGAACUUUCAGUUUUGUUCCUGGUUUAUCUUGGCUUCUUGCUGCUUAAUAUGCCUAUGAUUCAAUAACAAUACCUACUAUAAAAAAAGAAAAUGGAAGGGGUGCUUCCUACCUGGCACCGCCCAACUUGCUCUCUUUGUUCAAUAUUGUGUCGAGUCCCCAAGGGAACAUGGUGCUGUAUAAACAAUAGUGGAAAGCACAGGGCUCUUGAGAAUUAGGAUUUGUUGGUUUCAGUCGUUUCAAGUUUUACUCGUGAAAACCUUGAGAUUAGUUUGUCUGUUGAGAACAAUAUAGGGUCAAUAUAAACUCUGGGAUACAUCUAAAAAAAGUUUGGAGAUCAUAUUUUGUUUUUGCUAUGUCACCAGCACCAGAUGAUCAAGUUUUUCUUUUUGUUGCUGAAAGGAUUUUUUUUUGUUUUUUUUCUAAGGACGUGUCCAAUGUGGUGCUACUUGCCUAGCGUGAUUUUUGUUGGUUGCUGAGAAGAGUUCGACGCUGCUCAACAUUUUUGCCUCAAAAAUAAAAAGUCUGACGCCUACCAAUUCUCCUACUGAGGCUCCUAUGAACGGCCGAUCGUCAAUUUGAGGAUAUUCGUGUUGAGGCUGCAAAGAAGAGGCACCGUGCCACCAAGAGUCUGUAUGGUCUCGCUGUUCUACGCUAUUGACGACCAUACCACCGUCUAUGCAUAGAAUCCAUGUGCCGUGUUUCCUGUUUCUCCAAGGCCUUUUAAUUCUGCCAUAUGAUGUGAGGAAAUAUGCCUCUGCUUUAUUAUCUAUAUCAUAGUUCAUGUAACCUCUAAAGAUCCAGUCCUUGAAUGUGUUGUAUUCGCACAACUGUCUUAUUGUUUCAGUUAGAAACUUCUCUGAAUGUGUUGCUUU